rnacentral:rRNA from 1 species
AUUGAACGCUGGCGGCAUGCCUAACACAUGCAAGUCGAACGGAGGGCUUCGGUCCUCAGUGGCGGACGGGUGAGUAACGCGUAGGGAUCUGCCCCGCAGUGGGGGGACAACCUGGGGAAACUCAGGCUAAUACCGCAUACGCUCCAUGGAGGAAAGCGGGGGGACCUUCGGGCCUCGCGCUGCGGGAUGAACCUACGUCCGAUUAGCUAGUUGGUGGGGUAAAGGCCCACCAAGGCGACGAUCGGUAGCUGGUCUGAGAGGACGGCCAGCUACACUGGGACUGAGACACGGCCCAGACUCCUACGGGAGGCAGCAGUGGGGGAAUAUUGGACAAUGGGGCGCAAGCCUGAUCCAGCAAUGCCGCGUGGGUGAAGACGGCCUGCGGGUUGUAAAGCCCUUUAGGCGGGAGAACGGCCGGGCGCGAAUAGCGCGCGGCUCUGACGUUACCCGCAGAAUAAGCACCGGCUAACUCCGUGCCAGCAGCCGC